UUUGCCUUCUCCCCGCGUGCCCAAGGCUUCGCCGACACCAUCUCCUCACCGUGCCCUAACCGCUUGAGGCGGUUCUUCAUCUCUUCCUUCUCUUUUCUCCCGACGCCGAUCCCACCUCUUCUCCUUCCUCUCGGUGCCGAUCACCUAUUCCUCUUCUUCCCGAGGCCGAUCGAUUUCCUCUCCUCUGCCCGACGCCAACCCGAGCCAUUCUUCAUUGAGCGACCGCCGACCGAGCCUGCUUCCAUCUCUUCGCGGACACCAGGGGCCACCGGAAAUCGAGCAUCCGAACCCUAGGUCUGGUUCAUGGGCGUCGGUCGAAGAUUUCCUUCCUCCUCCGGCCGUACGAGCACAAGGGAUGCAGAUCCCUUGCCGGCAGCCCGAUUUCCCUUCAUCUUCCGGCCACGUGAGCACCAGGGGAUGCAGAGCCAUAACCCGAUCUCCCCUAUUUCGUGCCCUAGCCCGAUUUAGCGCUGCUGGUCAGCAGAUCCUUCUUUGUUGUUCUUGAUUCUCCUAAUUCUAGGUUACAGAUUUGGAGAGGUUGGGAUCAUUGAGUUGUGUUUGGGCUGGCGGGCAGAAACCAGAGGAGUUGUGCUUGAUCAGUGGACUUCCUCAUCCUUACUGCUGACUGAGGUCCCAGUUGGAGGCGAGUUCUGCUGCUUGAUUAGGGCAGUGCGGUGAAGAGAGGUCCUAUUCAAUACUGUGGGGUAAUCUUGUUCCAGUAGCACCCCUUCUAGCAGCAACAUCCAUUUAGCUCCAGCAUCUCGUUCGGUUGUGAAUUGAGGACCUUGACACGAGACGAGUACCUCGAUUAUCGGAUUGGACCAUUUCGAUUGGAGGCG